rnacentral:rRNA from 1 species
GACAGUAGCAUGGCAUCAUGUAGCUGUUAAAGCUUUGGCGAUGAUAGAUGGGCAUGCGUCCAAUUAGUUAGUUGGUGAGGUAAUGGCUCACCAAGACGAUGAUUGGUAGGGGAUCUGAGAGGAUAAUCCCCCACACUGGCACUGAGAUACGGGCCAGACUCCUACGGGAGGCAGCAGUAGGGAAUAUUGGGCAAUGGACGGAAGUCUGACCCAGCCAUGCCGCGUGCAGGAUGAAGGCGUUAUGCGUUGUAAACUGCUUUUUUAUAGGAAGAAGGAGACCUUGCGAGGUUUUGUGACGGUACUAUAAGAAUAAGCACCGGCUAACUCCGUGCCAGCAGCCGCGGUAAUACGGAGGGUGCGAGCGUUGUCCGGAUUUAUUGGGUUUAAAGGGUGCGUAGGCGGUUUAUUAAGUCAGUGGUGAAAGACGGUCGCUCAACGAUUGCAGUGCCAUUGAUACUGGUAGACUUGAGUUCGUAUGAGGUAGCUGGAAUGGAUAGUGUAGCGGUGAAAUGCAUAGAUAUUAUCCAGAACUCCAAUUGCGUAGGCAGGUUACUAAUACGAUACUGACGCUGAUGCACGAAAGUGUGGGGAUCAAACAGGAUUAGAUACCCUGGUAGUCCACACUGUAAACGAUGAUGACUAACUGUUUGCCCUUUGGGGUGAGUGGUACAGAGAAAUCGUUAAGUCAUCCACCUGGGGAGUACGCCGGCAACGGUG